ACGUCAGUAGUGCAACGGGUUAGAGCAUGCACUCCCGGAUAGAGGGAGGUUGUGGGUUCGAGUUCCGCCUGACGCA